GCUGGAUAAGAAAUGCAUCGAAGAUAUUAAUCAGCUCAUAGCACAGAGGUUGUGGAUUUUCAAACCAAUCCCCUGUGGAUAACAACUGUCGCAGGGUAUCUGAAUUUGGGGAGAACAUAAGUCCAUGACACAUGUGUACAAAACUUUCAUUGGGAUAUUAGUGUCAUAAUAAUAAUAUAUAACAACAUACAACAGAGCAACCAACAAGCUUAACACCUGAGAAAAGAUAGGUGCCUCCCAGAAGUAACAAACAUGAGUACUUGAUUACCUAGGGCACACAUAGCACAGACCAAGAUAUAAUCGCCUUGAAAGUGGAUGAAAAGAAUGCAGCUGAAACAUUUAUCAAAUUAUUGGAGGCCAAAUGUGAACACUAGUGAAGAUCAACUGUGGUUGGAGAAAUGAAGAACAGCAAAACUCUAACCCCGGGACAAGUACAAGAUUACUGAGAAAGCUUCACCCCACAAACUCAGGGGCACUAAGACUGAGGCUGAGCCGUAACGACAGAAUUUUCCCACUGUUAAAGCAAAUAAAUAUGGCCUGAGAAGGAUUUCUAUAUUUGAGUCCUUGUGGACUAACUGCAACCUAGCUUAACAGGGUAAGACCAUUUAAAGGGACCAAAAAUGGAUGAACAUACUUGGCACUAUGAACUAAAAGAUCUUUGGCUAAAGAAGAGAUGAAGACUCAUUCAACUCCUACAAGUGAAUUAAGGAGCUCUGAGAAGGCAAAGCCAGCCCAGGAGGGUGGACACACUAAGAACAAUGUGCCUUGUCCUGAUACACAGUUGUGGUAUAGGUAACAAAAUCUGAGUAUCCAACCUAAGAUGUUACCCCUCACCUCACCAGAAUACCUCCAAUCCCUUCCCUGGAAACACAGAAUAAAUUCCUAUAGAAAGUUAU
rnacentral:lncRNA from 1 species